GUGAGGGAAUGGGUGACUAGUGGCAGAGUGAGGGAGGGAAGGGGUGACUAGUGACAGAGUGAGGGGAUGACUGGUGACAGAGUGAGGGGGGGGGGUGACUGUCACUAGUCACCCCAUCCCUCUCUCUGUCACUAGUUACUCCCUCCCUAACUCUGUCACUGUGUCACCCGCUCCCUCACUCUGUCACUAGUCACCCCCUUACUCUGUCACUGUGUUACCCCUCCCUCUGUCACUAGUCACCCCCUCCCUCAC
rnacentral:sRNA from 1 species